UGCAAGUCGAGGGGUAACAUAGAGUGCUUGCACUUUGAUGACGACCGGCGCACGGGUGAGUAACGCGUAUACAAUCUGCCUCAUACUAGGGGAUAGCCCAGAGAAAUUUGGAUUAAUACCCUAUAGUAUCAUUUAGAGUCAUCUCUUAAUGAUUAAAGGUUACGGUAUGAGAUGAGUAUGCGUUCUAUUAGUUAGUAGGUGAGGUAACGGCUCACCUAGACCACGAUAGAUAGGGGCCCUGAGAGGGGGAUCCCCCACACUGGUACUGAGACACGGACCAGACUCCUACGGGAGGCAGCAGUGAGGAAUAUUAGACAAUGGGCGAAAGCCUGAUCUAGCCAUGCCGCGUGCAGGAUGACGGCCCUAUGGGUUGUAAACUGCUUUUAUACAGGAAGAAAAAACUCUACGUGUAGAGUCUUGACGGUACUGUAAGAAUAAGGAUCGGCUAACUUCGUGCCAGCAGCCGCGGUAAUACGGAGGAUCCAAGCGUUAUCCGGAAUUAUUGGGUUUAAAGGGUCCGUAGGUGGACAAUUAAGUCAGAGGUGAAAUCCUGCAGCUCAACUGUAGAAUUGCCUUUGAAACUGGUUGUCUUGAGUCAUUAUGAAGUGGUUAGAAUGUGUAGUGUAGCGGUGAAAUGCAUAGAUAUUACACAGAAUACCAAUUGCGAAGGCAGAUCACUAAUAAUGUACUGACACUGAUGGACGAAAGCGUGGGUAGCGAACAGGAUUAGAUACCCUGGUAGUCCACGCCGUAAACGAUGGUCACUAGCUGUUCGGACUUCGGUCUGAGUGGCUAAGCGAAAGUGAUAAGUGACC
rnacentral:rRNA from 1 species